AGUGAACGCUGGCGGUAGGCCUAACACAUGCAAGUCGAACGGCAGCACAGUAAGAGCUUGCUCUUACGGGUGGCGAGUGGCGGACGGGUGAGGAAUACAUCGGAAUCUACUUUUUCGUGGGGGAUAACGUAGGGAAACUUACGCUAAUACCGCAUACGACCUACGGGUGAAAGCAGGGGAUCUUCGGACCUUGCGCGAUUGAAUGAGCCGAUGUCGGAUUAGCUAGUUGGCGGGGUAAAGGCCCACCAAGGCGACGAUCCGUAGCUGGUCUGAGAGGAUGAUCCGCCAAACUGGGACUGGAGCACGGUCCAGGCCCCUUAGGGGGGGAAGAGGGGGGGAUUAUUGACAAAGGGGGGAAACCUUGACCAAGCAUACCGGGUGGGGUGAAGAAGCCUUCGGGGUGUAAAACCCUUUUGGUGGGGAAAGAAAGGAGGAAGUUAAUUCCCCGGUGGUCUUGGGGUAACCAAAAGAUAAGGACCGGGUAACUUCGUG
rnacentral:rRNA from 1 species